GUGGGGAAUAUUGGGCAAUGGGCGAAAGCCUGACCCAGCAACGCCGCGUGAAGGAAGAAGGUCUUCGGAUCGUAAACUUCUAUCCUUGGUGAAGAUAAUGACGGUAGCCGAGAAGGAAGCCCCGGCUAACUACGUGCCAGCAGCCGCGGUAAUACGUAGGGGGCAAGCGUUGUCCGGAAUGAUUGGGCGUAAAGGGCGCGUAGGCGGUCUGGUAAGUCUGGAGUGAAAGUCCUGCUUUUAAGGUGGGAAUUGCUUUGGAUACUGUCGGGCUUGAGUGCAGGGGAGGUAAGCGGAAUUCCCGGUGUAGCGGUGAAAUGCGUAGAGAUCGGGAGGAACACCAGUGGCGAAGGCGGCUUACUGGACUGUAACUGACGCUGAGGCGCGAAAGUGUGGGGAGCAAACAGGAUUAGAAACCCGUGUAGUCC
rnacentral:rRNA from 1 species